rnacentral:rRNA from 1 species
AUACGGAGGAUCCGAGUGUUAUCCGGAUUUACUGGGCGUAAAGGGCGCGUAGGCGGUAGUAUAAGUCAGAUGUGAAAGUCCAGGGCUCAACCGUGGAAUUGCAUUUGAAACUGUGCUACUUGAGUGCAGGAGAGGAGAGCGGAAUUCCUAGUGUAGCGGUGAAAUGCGUAGAGAUUAGGAAGAACACCAGUGGCGAAGGCGGCUCUCUGGACUGUAACUGACGCUGAGGCGCGAAAGCGUGGGUAGCGAACAGGAUUAGAUACCCUGGUAGUCCACGCCGUAAACGAUGAGUGCUAGGUGUUGGGGGUCGAACCUCAGUGCCGCAGUUAACACAUUAAGCACUCCGCCUGGGGAGUACGACCGCAAGGUUGAAACUCAAAUGAAUUGACGGGG